rnacentral:rRNA from 1 species
GCUGAGAGAGGAGCUUGCUCUUCUUGGAUGAGUUGCGAACGGGUGAGUAACGCGUAGGUAACCUGCCUUGUAGCGGGGGAUAACUAUUGGAAACGAUAGCUAAUACCGCAUAACAAUGGAUGACACAUGUCAUUUAUUUGAAAGGGGCAAUUGUUCCACUACAAGAUGGACCUGCGUUGUAUUAGCUAGUAGGUGAGGUAAUGGCUCACCUAGGCGACGAUACAUAGCCGACCUGAGAGGGUGAUCGGCCACACUGGGACUGAGACACGGCCCAGACUCCUACGGGAGGCAGCAGUAGGGAAUCUUCGGCAAUGGGGGCAACCCUGACCGAGCAACGCCGCGUGAGUGAAGAAGGUUUUCGGAUCGUAAAGCUCUGUUGUAAGUCAAGAACGGGUGUGAGAGUGGAAAGUUCACACUGUGACGGUAGCUUACCAGAAAGGGACGGCUAACUACGUGCCAGCAGCCGCGGUAAUACGUAGGUCCCGAGCGUUGUCCGGAUUUAUUGGGCGUAAAGCGAGCGCAGGCGGUUUGAUAAGUCUGAAGUUAAAGGCUGUGGCUCAACCAUAGUUCGCUUUGGAAACUGUCAAACUUGAGUGCAGAAGGGGAGAGUGGAAUUCCAUGUGUAGCGGUGAAAUGCGUAGAUAUAUGGAGGAACACCCGGUGGCGAAAGCGGCUCUCUGGUCUGUAACUGACGCUGAGGCUCGAAAGCGUGGGGAGCGAACAGGAUUAGAUACCCUGGUAGUCCACGCCGUAAACGAUGAGUGCUAGGUGUUGGAUCCUUUCCGGGAUUCAGUGCCGCAGCUAACGCAUUAAGCACUCCGCCUGGGGAGUACGACCGCAAGGUUGAAACUCAAAGGAAUUGACGGGGGCCCGCACAAGCGGUGGAGCAUGUGGUUUAAUUCGAAGCAACGCGAAGAACCUUACCAGGUCUUGACAUCCCGAUGCUAUUUCUAGAGAUAGAAAGUUACUUCGGUACAUCGGUGACAGGUGGUGCAUGGUUGUCGUCAGCUCGUGUCGUGAGAUGUUGGGUUAAGUCCCGCAACGAGCGCAACCCCUAUUGUUAGUUGCCAUCAUUCAGUUGGGCACUCUAGCGAGACUGCCGGUAAUAAACCGGAGGAAGGUGGGGAUGACGUCAAAUCAUCAUGCCCCUUAUGACCUGGGCUACACACGUGCUACAAUGGUUGGUACAACGAGUUGCGAGUCGGUGACGGCGAGCUAAUCUCUUAAAGCCAAUCUCAGUUCGGAUUGUAGGCUGCAACUCGCCUACAUGAAGUCGGAAUCGCUAGUAAUCGCGGAUCAGCACGCCGCGGUGAAUACGUUCCCGGGCCUUGUACACACCGCCCGUCACACCACGAGAGUUUGUAACACCCGAAGUCGGUGAGGUAACCUUUUGGAGCCAGCCGCCUAAGGUGGGACAGAUGAUGG